rnacentral:rRNA from 1 species
AGUGAACGCUGGCGGUAGGCCUAACACAUGCAAGUCGAACAGCAGCACAGUAAGAGCUUGCUCUUACGGGUGUCGAGUGGCGGACGGGUGAGGAAUACAUCGGAAUCUACUUUUUCGUGGGGGAUAACGUAGGGAAACUUACGCUAAUACCGCAUACGACCUACGGGUGAAAGCAGGGGAUCUUCGGACCUUGCGCGAUUGAAUGAGCCGAUGUCGGAUUAGCUAGUUGGCGGGGUAAAGGCCCACCAAGGCGACGAUCCGUAGCUGGUCUGAGAGGAUGAUCAGCCACACUGGAACUGAGACACGGUCCAGACUCCUACGGGAGGCAGCAGUGGGGAAUAUUGGACAAUGGGCGCAAGCCUGAUCCAGCCAUACCGCGUGGGUGAAGAAGGCCUUCGGGUUGUAAAGCCCUUUUGUUGGGAAAGAAAAGCAGCAGGUUAAUACCCCGCUGUUCUGACGGUACCCAAAGAAUAAGCACCGGCUAACUUCGUG